CCUACGGGAGGCAGCAGUGAGGGAUAUUGCGCAAUGGGCGAAAGCCUGACGCAGCAACGCCGCUGUGGGGGAAGAAGGCCUUCGGGUUGUAAACCCCUUUUCUGAGGGAAGAGGAAGGACGGUACCUCAGGAAUA
rnacentral:rRNA from 1 species